rnacentral:snRNA from 1 species
AGCUUUGCGUAGUGGCAGUACCGUAGCCGAUGAGGUCUACCUGGGGCAUGAUUACUGCUAAUUGAAAAACUUUUCCCAGUGCUU